AGGACGAACGCUGGCGGCGUGCUUAACACAUGCAAGUCGAGCGGAAAGGCCCUUCGGGGUACUCGAGCGGCGAACGGGUGAGUAACACGUGAGCAGCCUGCCCUCAGCUCUGGGAUAGCUCCCGGAAACGGGAAUUAAUACCGGAUACGACCCCAACUGACAUCGGUCAGGGUGGAAAGGAUUCCGGCUGAGGAUGGACUCGCGGCCUAUCAGCUAGUUGGUGGAGUAACGGCCCACCAAGGCGACG
rnacentral:rRNA from 1 species